rnacentral:rRNA from 1 species
CGGGGUAGAGUAACGCGUGAGGAACCUGCCUCAAAGAGGGGGACAACAGUUGGAAACGACUGCUAAUACCGCAUAAGCCCACAGCUCGGCAUCGAGCAGAGGGAAAAGGAGCAAUCCGCUUUGAGAUGGCCUCGCGUCCGAUUAGCUAGUUGGUGAGGUAACGGCCCACCAAGGCGACGAUCGGUAGCCGGACUGAGAGGUUGAACGGCCACAUUGGGACUGAGACACGGCCCAG